CCUACGGGUGGCAGCAGUGGGGAAUAUUGGUCAAUGGGCGCAAGCCUGACCCAGCAACGCCGCGUGAAGGAAGAAGGCCCUCGGGUUGUAAACUUUUUUUGUCAGGGACGAAACAAAUGACGGUACCUGACGAAUAAGCCACGGCUAACUACGUGCCAGCAGCCGCGGCAAUACGUAGGUGGCAAGCGUUAUCCGGAUUUACUGGGUGUAAAGGGCGUGUAGGGGGGAGAGCAAGUCAGAUGUGAAAUUCCAGGGCUCAACCCUGAAACUGGAUUUGAAACUGGUUUUCUUGAGUGAUGGAGAGGCAGGCGGAAUUCGGUGUGUAGCGGUGAAAUGCGUAGAUAUACGGAGGAACACCGGUGGCGAAGGCAGCCUGCUGGACAUUAACUGACGCUGAGGCGCGAAAGCGUGGGGAGCAAACAGGAUUAGAUACCCGUGUAGUC
rnacentral:rRNA from 1 species